rnacentral:rRNA from 1 species
GAUGAACGCUGGCGGCGUGCCUAAUACAUGCAAGUCGAGCGAAUGGAUUAAGAGCUUGCUCUUAUGAAGUUAGCGGCGGACGGGUGAGUAACACGUGGGUAACCUGCCCAUAAGACUGGGAUAACUCCGGGAAACCGGGGCUAAUACCGGAUAACAUUUUGAACCGCAUGGUUCGACAUUGAAAGGCGGCUUCGGCUGUCACUUAUGGAUGGACCCGCGUCGCAUUAGCUAGUUGGUGAGGUAACGGCUCACCAAGGCAACGGUGCGUAGCCGACCUGAGAGGGUGAUCGGCCACACUGGGACUGAGACACGGCCCAGACUCCUACGGGAGGCAGCAGUAGGGAAUCUUCCGCAAUGGACGAAAGUCUGACGGAGCAACGCCGCGUGAGUGAUGUAGGCUUUCGGGUCGUAAAACUCUGUUGUUAGGGAAGAACAAGUGCUAGUUGAAUAAGCUGGCACCUUGACGGUACCUAACCAGAAAGCCACGGCUAACUACGUGCCAGCCGCCGCAGUAA